CAGUCGCCGCGGGAAUACGAAGGGGGCUAGCGUUGCUCGGAAUUACUGGGCGUAAAGGGCGCGUAGGCGGACAGUUCAGUCGGGGGUGAAAGCCCGGGGCUCAACCUCGGAAUUGCCUUCGAUACUGGCUGUCUUGAGUAUGAGAGAGGUGUGUGGAACUCCGAGUGUAGAGGUGAAAUUCGUAGAUAUUCGGAAGAACACCAGUGGCGAAGGCGACACACCGGCUCAUUACUGACGCUGAGGCGCGAAAGCGUGGGGAGCAAACAGGAUUAGAUACCCCGGUAGUCCCUGUCUCUUAUAC
rnacentral:rRNA from 1 species